UACGAAGGGGGGCUAGCGUUGUUCGGAAUUACUGGGCGUAAAGGGCUCGUAGGCGGCCAACUAAGUCGGACGUGAAAUCCCUCGGCUUAACCGGGGAACUGCGUCCGAUACUGGAUGGCUUGAGUUCGGGAGAGGGAUGCGGAAUUCCAGGUGUAGCGGUGAAAUGCGUAGAUAUCUGGAGGAACACCGGGUGGCGAAGGCGGCAUCCUGGACCGACACUGACGCUGAGGGAGCGAAAGGCCAGGGGAGCAAAGCGGG
rnacentral:rRNA from 1 species